AUCUAUGGCCAUACCACCCUGAAUGCGCCCAAUCUUGUCUGAUCUUGGAAGCUGAGCAGGGUCGGGCCUGGUUAGUACUUGGAUGGGAGACAGUACAUUUAAAAGCAGAGACAUUACUUU
rfam:TPA: Bos taurus chromosome 9, whole genome shotgun sequence.